rnacentral:rRNA from 1 species
UACGAAGGGUGCGAAGCGUUGCUCGGAAUUAUUGGGCGUAAAGGGUAGGUAGGUGGUGACAUUUGUCUGGGGUGAAGUCCCUGAGCUUAACUCAGGAAGUGCCUUGGAAACGGUGUCACUAGAGUGCUUGGAGAGGUUCGCAGAAUUCUUGGUGUAGCGGUGAAAUGCGUAGAGAUCAAGAGGAAUACCAGAGGCGAAGGCGGCGAACUGGACAGUUACUGACACUAAACUACGAAAGCGUGGGGAGCAAACAGG